rnacentral:rRNA from 1 species
UUGGAGGGCAAGUCUGGUGCCAGCAGCCGCGGUAAUUCCAGCUCCAAUAGCGUAUAUUAAAGUUGUUGCAGUUAAAAAGCUCGUAGUUGAAUUUCGGAAUCUGUCCGUCGGUCGGGCUUCACUGUCCGUACUGGUGUGAUGGGUUUCUACCUUCUGAAUAACCGGCAUGUCAUUAAUUUGGUGCGCCGGGGAAGCAGAACUAUUACCUUGAAAAAAUUAGAGUGCUUAAAGCAGGCUAUCGCCUGAAUAUAUUAGCAUGGAAUAAUAAAAUAGGACGGCAUGGUUCUAUUUUGUUGGUUUCUAGGAUCACCGUAAUGAUUAAUAGGGAUAGUUGGGGGCAUUAGUAUUCAAUUGUCAGAGGUGAAAUUCUUGGAUUUAUUGAAGACUAACUUCUGCGAAAGCAUUUGCCAAGGAUGUUUUCAUUAAUCAAGAACGAAAGUUAGGGGAUCGAAGACGAUCAGAUACCGUCGUAGUCUUAACCAUAAACUAUGCCGACUAGGGAUCGGACGAUGUUAAUUUUUUAAUGACUCGUUCGGCGCCUUACGGGAAAC